rnacentral:rRNA from 1 species
UACGGGGGGAGCAAACGUUGUUCGGAAUUAUUGGGCGUAAAGGGCUCGUAGGCGGUUUGUCGCGUCGGGAGUGAAAACCCAGGGCUUAACCCUGGGCUGGCUUCCGAUACGGGCAGACUAGAGGUAUGCAGGGGAGAACGGAAUUCCUGGUGUAGCGGUGAAAUGCGCAGAUAUCAGGAGGAACACCGGUGGCGAAGGCGGUUCUCUGGGCAUUACCUGACGCUGAGGAGCGAAAGCAUGGGGAGCGAACAGG